CACCAUUUUUAUUCUGUAUAAAAUUUAUUGGUGUGUUUGUAUUCUUUUUCUUGUUCCUCCCACUUUUGCUAUCUCGGAAUUUAUUGUAUUACUGCUUAAUGCCCUGUUUGUUUCAGAUUAUAAUCUCACAAGAUUAUAUAAUCUAGCGCAAAUAAUUUAAUAGUUAAACAAACACAUAGAUUAUGAGUUCAGAUUAUAUAAUCUAAACUCCAGAUUAUGAUAAUCUCAUAAUCUCCUCACGACUAGCUUAUUUGAGAUUAUUUUGGCAAAAGACCCACUAUCCAUAGUAAUGUAAAUAGAAAUUACAAUAUAUGCCAUCAUUCUUUUCUCAUCUCAAAUAAACAAUAAGGGUAUUGUUGUCUUUGUGAAUAAUUUACACUACCAAACAACUAUAUAUAGAUUAUAAUAUAUCUAGAUUAUAAUCUGGAUUAUAUAAUUUAGGUUAUAAUCUAGAUUAUAUAAUCUAUAAGCUGAAACAAACAUACCCUAAGUCUACUAGUUUCUCUAUCACCUUGACCAUCGUCAUCACUGUUUUUAAUUAUGCAUAUCAUCAAAUGUGCACCUCUUAGCUGAAAGAAUGGUGUGCCAUACUGUUGGAAAUUACUUGAGUCGGCAGCCGAAAGAUGUGUUAAUAUGCGAUGUCUUAUUUAUC
rnacentral:lncRNA from 1 species